GCGGCGUGCUUAACACAUGCAAGUCGAACGGUGAACACGGAGCUUGCUCUGUGGGAUCAGUGGCGAACGGGUGAGUAACACGUGAGCAACCUGCCCCUGACUCUGGGAUAAGCGCUGGAAACGGCGUCUAAUACUGGAUAUGUGACGUGACCGCAUGGUCUGCGUUUGGAAAGAUUUUUCGGUUGGGGAUGGGCUCGCGGCCUAUCAGCUUGUUGGUGAGGUAAUGGCUCACCAAGGCGUCGACGGGUAGCCGGCCUGAGAGGGUGACCGGCCACACUGGGACUGAGACACGGCCCAGACUCCUACGGGAGGCAGCAGUGGGGAAUAUUGCACAAUGGGCGCAAGCCUGAUGCAGCAACGCCGCGUGAGGGAUGACGGCCUUCGGGUUGUAAACCUCUUUUAGCAGGGAAGAAGCGAAAGUGACGGUACCUGCAGAAAAAGCGCCGGCUAACUACGUGCCAGCAGCCGCGGUAAUACGUAGGGCGCAAGCGUUAUCCGGAAUUAUUGGGCGUAAAGAGCUCGUAGGCGGUUUGUCGCGUCUGCUGUGAAAUCCCGAGGCUCAACCUCGGGCCUGCAGUGGGUACGGGCAGACUAGAGUGCGGUAGGGGAGAUUGGAAUUCCUGGUGUAGCGGUGGAAUGCGCAGAUAUCAGGAGGAACACCGAUGGCGAAGGCAGAUCUCUGGGCCGUAACUGACGCUGAGGAGCGAAAGGGUGGGGAGCAAACAGGCUUAGAUACCCUGGUAGUCCACCCCGUAAACGUUGGGAACUAGUUGUGGGGUCCAUUCCACGGAUUCCGUGACGCAGCUAACGCAUUAAGUUCCCCGCCUGGGGAGUACGGCCGCAAGGCU
rnacentral:rRNA from 1 species